GAAACGUUUUCAUUCACAGACGCUGUGGAUAAAUCCCAAAGAGAGAGCUAGCAAAAGAGGGAGCUUUUUUAAGUUUAAAGAAAAAAAAAUAAUAAAAGGUCCGUAAAUCAGAAGGCUCUGACAAGCUACCCAGGAAAUACGCAAUUACAGAGCAAUCAGCCAGUGCAGGGAUCUCAACAUAGCCAUUGUGUGUGCCUCUGCUGUUCCAGAGGACAAAAGGAGCCAGCACGGCUGGGGAUCAAGGCGAGGCGGGCGCGCCCACACCUUGUGGGAAGCGGAGGCGGCCACCGCGUGCAGGAAGGGUCUCCCAGGUGGCCGGAGAACCCACAGGCGUGUACGGACAAGGUGCCCUGGGUGCCCUGGCUGACCCCUGGUCAGCCCGGCCAGGGGUAGAGACCUUCCCGGAAGGCGAAGAUCGCAUAGCCAAGUGGAAGAAGCCAAGUGAAGGGCUAUGGGGACCUAGAAGAUGGAGUCGUCACACAGUGGAAGAAUUGCAGAUCUCUGAGUCACCAUUUGGACAAGAACCUACUAGAACAGGUGCCUGAACAAGAACACUGGACUUUGUGUGAGUGAGAAACAAACUUUUAUUGUGUUAAGCCACCGAGAUUUUGGGUUGGUUUUUAUAGUAGCUGGUGUUGCUUACACUGACUAAUACAUCUUGAAAGUAAAUGAUGCAAAACAAUUCUACUUAUUCACAGGGGGUGGUAUUUAUAAGGGAAAAGAAUAACAGGGUGGUGUCAGUGAUGGGUCCUGAUAAGUAAGCAACAACAAGGAAGGGGCCCCAGGUAGGGAAGAACAAUUGUUCUGAGAGACUGUUAAUCACAAACAACCUGCUAGCCCCACAUCCUGUUCUCAAAUACUUUGCUCAGCAUGUAGCCCCAGCAGCAUGACUUUGUCUGCAUGUAGACCCUCCAGCAUGACCCUAUAAAAUUUCCCUCCAGCCACUGCCUCUUGGCAGACAGUCCCUUCUCUGCUGUGCUGCCCACUGCUUUCUUACAACGUUAUCUUUGUACUUUCUCUAAUAAAUCUGCCUUUCUUUA
rnacentral:lncRNA from 10 species